UGAGGAAUAUUGGUCAAUGGACGCAAGUCUGAACCAGCCAUGCCGCGUGCAGGAAGACGGCUCUAUGAGUUGUAAACUGCUUUUGUACUAGGGUAAACGCUUCUACGUGUAGGAGCCUGAAAGUAUAGUACGAAUAAGGAUCGGCUAACUCCGUGCCAGCAGCCGCGGUAAUACGGAGGAUCCAAGCGUUAUCCGGAUUUAUUGGGUUUAAAGGGUGCGUAGGCGGUUUGAUAAGUUAGAGGUGAAAUACCGGGGCGUCAACUCCAGGAACUGCCUCUAAUACUGUUGAAUCUAGAGAGUAGUUGCGGUAGGCGGAAUGUAUGGUGUAGCGGUGAAAUGCUUAGAUAUUGCGCAGAACUCCGAUUGCGAAGGCAGCGUACUGGCGCCUGACUGACGCUGAGGCACGAAAGCGUGGGGGAUCGAACAGGAUUAGAUACC
rnacentral:rRNA from 1 species